rnacentral:rRNA from 1 species
UCUACCUCGGUGCCGCGGACUCGGACCGUCGCCGCCUUCUACCUCGGUGCCGCGGACUCGGACCGUCUCCGUCUUCUACCUCGGCGCCGCGGACUAGGACCGUCGCCGCCUCUGCCUCGAGCUACACGACCUCAGUGGCCGCGAUAGAACGACGGCCUCUGCCUCGAGCUCCAUGAGCCUCCACCCCUCGAGCUCCACGACCCACGCCCUCGAGCUCCUCGACUGCGGCCGCUGCCCCAGGAUCACGAUCCCUACCUCGAGCUCCAAGACCGGCCGCCCUCUAGCUCCAAGACCGGCCGCCUGCCUCCAAGGCGCGCCACCUAGCGCUGCUCGCCUGCCUCUUGACCCAUGACCUAACAUUACUAAAGUUUAAAGCCUUCCCGGAAUAACAUUUUAACUAAACAAGUGCUAAGGCGGAGGGGACCUCAGUAGAUAAUGGCUUGCCUCCCUCAUAAUUUAACGGUAGGACCUAUUUUGUGAGUGUAGACGGUAUACCCAGACUCGUGCCGUUCUAUGAACUGUGAUAAAAACCUGACGUGACCACCUUGGUUUAAGACAUGUGCAUAUACUUUACAUGCGGGUUGUUGAUAUUCUUCCUGCUAGGGGUUUCUGAGUUCCAGGAAUUUACCAGAUAGAACUACAAACGCCUUGGAGGCUCUGAUGCGAGAGUAGUUUGUUCCCAGCCUAGUAACUAGCCCUCACGUCUCUUACCUCUAUAACCGUCAAGACUUCUUCCUUAAGUAUUGACCUUCUGAAACUCAUUUCAUCCGAAAGCGAUAUUUGACUUCGGUCUUAUAUGAGCGAGGUACAUACACGAACUAUUCGUAUGCGUCAUAUUCGAAAAGACGCUUUUCUUAUUCCUCAAACAUGGAACCGGAUAACGACCCCGGCUACCCCUCUAAAACCACAAGUUUAUACUACUUCACGACCAAGAUGUAUAAUAAUUCUAAGUCGUCCUGCGUCGGGACCCAUCCUAUACACUUGAAGAACUCUUCGUCGGCAGAGGUUCUUCGCUAACCUUCUUAGUACAUGUGGGUUUCGACGCAGCUUUACAGGGAUGGAUGGAAUAGAAGUAGGAGUGGGCGCCUCUCCUUAAGAGACAAGCUCAUUCCCACCGACGACCAGAAGAAGACUUCUUGUCGGAUGUCUUCCUAAAACCCUCUUACCAAUAACGAAGAGUUCUCAUGCAGUUUAGACUCGACCAAUCAACGUAUACACUUCAGUUAUUAUGUGACUAAGUCAGGUGACGAUCUCGUCAUAGUUAUCGUUAAGAAUUCUACUAACCACGAGGUGUUACCUUUCUGAUAAGUUUCGAAAUGUUCUAACAUACUUCUUACCACAAGAUUUACUCUACCUUCCACGGUACAACUACUACAAUCUCUAAACACUCUCUCAAGGAGAUGUCGAACCAACAUUAUUAGGACCGGACAAUCUUGCUCGUUAGUUAAUAAAGAAGUCUUCUACGGAAUUCUACAAACUCAGCAGCGUACGCUCAGAAUCUUUUAACCGUAACCUGAGACAAUUAGCGAUGUAAUAUCAUAAUGGUUAUAAUAACGCGUACAUGUAACUACUGGCGAUGGAACUCCCGGAUAGGAUGGAAGAAUUCGUUUUACCCCGACCUUACUCUCUUUGGUUUACCUUCCUCUCCCUUCGACGACGAUUCAAAUAUCCGAGAUAUCCUCUCCAAGUAUACGUACUUCGUGUAGGGGCAGAAGGUCUCCAAUAGUUAAAUGACUAACCUGAAGAAUUUCUGCUUCGGGCACGACAUAGUUGACGAUGAACGUACUCAGAUGUAGUAAUAUCGUUCAAAUAACACGUCUCGGAACCGGUAGGUUUACCGACAAAUGUUAAACUCCUAUAGGAUUGUUGAAAUGUACUUUCCUAUUGUCUAUAACUGAUACUACAACGCUCUCGACGGUAAAGACGUAACCGCCAGAAACUUCUCCUCCGACGUUGGGAAGUUUUCGAAUAAGUAGUCGAAUCGAGACUCCUCCUGGACAAAGGUGAGGAAACGACAAAAUGUUGACAACGUUUCUAUCACACGGGACCCAAAAGACUCGACCGAAUAGGACACGACGUACCAACAAAUUUACAAUAGUUUAGAGUCAAUAAGCUUCUCCUAAGGAAUGCGUUCUGUGUUUAGUAAAAGUUCACAAACGUACACGACAGUGAUGAACGUGCUCCUCAAAGACGACUAUAUCCUCUGAACUAAUGUGGUUCGAAGAACUCUCUCUAAGAACACGGUACGACGCUCAUACUUCAUCGAGAACAAGUUCUUCGACGAGACCAGAACCGUCCCCUAGAAAGACUCCACUAAGUUUUACUUCUCCGUCGGCUCCUCAACGCACGUUAACACCGGGCGAAGUCAGUCCGCCCCGGACGAGCCAUCGUUGUCUCCACCACCUCGACGAGGACUCUCGACUAAAAACCAUCAAAUACAAAGGAGUUCGGUAGAACAAAAGAAAGCUACCCUUUUGUCCCUGUCCUUACAUGUUUUAAUCCACCACACGGGUAGACUUACGUCGGAUUAAUCCUACACUAAAAUCAUAACCCAACGGAGUCUUGCCUUUCUCGAAAUACUUACCAAUGUUUGAUGCUUCAACAAAUACGAGAGGUCACGUUUCACGAUGAAUGAUGGGACGAACUGUAUAUGAACAUGAUGAUGUUUAGCCAACAUCUUUAACGGGGGAGCAUAACUUACAAGAAGGGUUAAGUAGGCCGAAUAAACACUAAUUCUAUACG